rnacentral:lncRNA from 1 species
GGGGCUGGGACGCGUUUCCUUUCCUCGCGUCCUGCCCGAGCUCGGCCCUACCAGCCUCUCUUUGCUCAAGUCCGGAGCAGAACGGACGCGGGCUCUGUCCUGGGAGUGACCUCCUCCCCGCCAGGGAGUUCAGAGGACAUCACUGAACUAGGAGAAGCUGAUAGCAAUGCCAGUUAUCACUGUGGUCAUUAAUAAUGCAGUGAGGAUCGCGAUAAUUAAUAAUAAUAAUGAUGGGCCUCCCGAGGGGGCUCCAGCUGCCUCCGGAUAAAGCGACUCCCCGAUGAGGGCAGUUACUCGGGGGGUGGAUGGAGGGCAGCGCGCGGGGCGCGGCCUUGGGAGCCCUGAAGUUCAAGUUGACGGCGGUGGCGGCCAGACUCGGUCCUCCGUCCGCUGCCGCUCUGGGUCCCCAAGAGAGGCGAGGACGGGCUUCAGUGUUGUGGCUCUGGAGUCGAGGCAAGGGCAGGUCAGGCCCAGCGACCUAAGGAGCCUUUCGGGCGGCCGUCCGACUCUCAGAUCUGGAAAGCGACGGGACCCCAAUGCCGUGAGAGGCUUCUCUUCUUCCUUCUUGCCUCAACUCAGAAGAAAAGCCCCCAAGACCUUGAGAGCAUCUUUUCUGAAAACUCUGACCAACUCCGAGGGUGAGGGGCGAAGCUGCAAGCCCUCCAGAAAAGCUGGUGGCUUAGGUACUUCCACCUGGCAACUUUGUAUCUUAGUCUACUUUAUUUUGCUGAAU